UGGGGAAUAUUGCACAAUGGGCGCAAGCCUGAUGCAGCCAUGCCGCGUGUGUGAAGAAGGCCUUCGGGUUGUAAAGCACUUUCAGCGGGGAGGAAGGCGAUAAGGUUAAUAACCUCAUCGAUUGACGUUACCCGCAGAAGAAGCACCGGCUAACUCCGUGCCAGCAGCCGCGGUAAUACGGAGGGUGCAAUCGUUAAUCGGAAUUACUGGGCGUAAAGCGCACGCAGGCGGUCUGUCAAGUCGGAUGUGAAAUCCCCGGGCUCAACCUGGGAACUGCAUUCGAAACUGGCAGGCUAGAGUCUUGUAGAGGGGGGUAGAAUUCCAGGUGUAGCGGUGAAAUGCGUAGAGAUCUGGAGGAAUACCGGUGGCGAAGGCGGCCCCCUGGACAAAGACUGACGCUCAGGUGCGAAAGCGUGGGGAGCAAACAGG
rnacentral:rRNA from 1 species